CAGAGAAUAGUUUAAAUAAAAUAUCAGUUUUGGAGAUUGAUGAUAAGUUCAUACUUUUUUCUGA
rnacentral:tRNA from 1 species